UAGGGAAUCUUCCACAAUGGACGCAAGUCUGAUGGAGCAACGCCGCGUGAGUGAAGAAGGUUUUCGGAUCGUAAAGCUCUGUUGUUGGUGAAGAAGGAUAGAGGCAGUAACUGGUCUUUAUUUGACGGUAAUCAACCAGAAAGUCACGGCUAACUACGUGCCAGCAGCCGCGGUAAUACGUAGGUGGCAAGCGUUGUCCGGAUUUAUUGGGCGUAAAGCGAGCGCAGGCGGAAUGAUAAGUCUGAUGUGAAAGCCCACGGCUCAACCGUGGAACUGCAUCGGAAACUGUCAUUCUUGAGUGCAGAAGAGGAGAGUGGAACUCCAUGUGUAGCGGUGGAAUGCGUAGAUAUAUGGAAGAACACCAGUGGCGAAGGCGGCUCUCUGGUCUGCAACUGACGCUGAGGCUCGAAAGCAUGGGUAGCGAACAGGAUUAGAUACCCUGGUAGUCCAUGCCGUAAACGAUGAGCGCUAGGUGUUGGGGACUUUCCGGUCCUCAGUGCCGCAGCAAACGCAUUAAGCGCUCCGCCUGGGGAGUACGACCGCAAGGUUGAA
rnacentral:rRNA from 1 species